UUUUCAUAAGUAAAAGAAAAUCUAUUAAAUAAUAUACUUGUGACUUUUGUAAUUAAACAUCACUUGUUAAUAAUAAUUAAAAUAAAUCAAUAGUUAAUGUGUUAUAUAUCAUUAGUUCUGCGCGUUAUUGAUAUUCGAUUGUUCAUUAUGUAAUUAAGCAUCAUAAGAAACAAAAUAAAUUUCUGAAAUAUAUAUAUUGCGGCAAUCCGGAAAAUGCUACACUAAUAAAUCAGGUGUAUUCAAAUAUAUGACUAAGUAUCUGAGAUUAUAAUCGCGUGUAAAUAAAACACUUAUUCUAGAAUCCUAGAAAAAAGUAUAUUAAUUUUUCCUUAAACGAUCAUUAAUACUAAUAGUCAUGUUGUUUCUUAUCAAUUUAAAGCGUAGUAGACUGGAGCAAACUGAAAUGGUUGCGUAUAUCUCUGUAUCUAUAUGUAUGUCACGUGGAAAUAUAAACUUUAUAUGUAUAUCUUGAGCCCGAUAUAGAUUCUUGUUAAUCUUUGCCAAGUUUGAAGUAAUAUCAUGUAAUAUGCGGAAAUUUACUUGUUAUGUUAAACUUAAUUGCUCAUUCCAUCUUGUCGCGAUUUUCCGGCUAUCAUUCCCGAAAUUUAAUAAAUAUCCGUGAUAUCAUUUAAUAUCAAUCAUUUUAAGUUAAAAAUGGAAAUUACAAUUAUCAUAUAUCUAUAAAUUUGCAUAUUUGUUGCAAAUUAGAAUAUUUACAAACUUGAAAUUUUGAAAAAAUAAAAUGUAUAAAUAGAAAUAUAUAAUAUAUAUAUCUUAAUUCAACAUAAUUAACUCUAUUUGGAAAUUUACAAUAUUCAUUCAUUAGAAGAUUUUAUAGAUGAAUAAAUUUAAAGAAACAAUAAGUGAGAUAAGCUGGAAUGGAAAAGCAAGUUAUCUUAAAGGAUAUAUGAAGCAUUUACUCUGAUAAGAUUUUAACGUCUAUCUGCUUGAAGUAAAACGAUAAAUAUUGUAAAGCUUAUAAGAACAAAAUUUUUCUGAGAUAUGUCCAUAGCUACAAUACGUUUCAUAUAUGUUACUUAUUUAUGCACGCGUCGAUAAAAUAUCAUAAAAUUUUUACUUCAUCUCAGAUCAAUGACACGUUGUUUGAAAUCGCUUUUAUUCGUAAUUACAUAGUCGUCGUUUUAAUUAUCGAUAAUACACGUAUUAAUUUUGAAGAGACACGUGCGUCUUUCUUUUCGUGCGAAUGUGAAUGCAAUUCGACUCAUUGUUUUAUACAACGAAUUUAUUUAUAUAUAUAUAUUUAUAUAUAUAUGUCACAGAUGGUGUGUAUUCCGUUCGCUAACUAACUCUACAAAAUGUUCCUUCAGUAUUUGUCUGCUGCUGAAUACACUACUUUAAUUUUUUUGCAUUACAACUGGCACUUCUGAAGUAUUGUUAAUCACUAGUCCCGAUUACUAGGGCUUUGGUGUGUCUUGGCGCUUUAGAAAAAUACUCAAUUUUUGAUUCUCUAAGAUCUAAGAUGCAAGUAUGAUGACGAUUGAGCCGCGAGCAUUAGAUCACCUCGGAUACUCUCCUUUUAUCAAAAAUUGAUUAUUUUUGUAUACAUAUACAUAUUUAUUGUUGCCUAUUUCUAUAAGUAUGUAUAUAUAACAUACGUCGGCAAGCAUCCAGAAAAACGUAAUCGCAAAAUACACGCUUGAAUCUCUAUGAGCUAAUAAUGCUGCAUUAAUAAUGUGAUUACACGUGUCUUUUUUUCUUCAUUUCUGCGAUAUAUAGUACACUACUUAUUACUGUUUAUGUGUGUGUAUGCGUGUGUACUGUUGUAUGUGUAUUUCUUUCUUGGGCAUAUGUAUACUCUUUAUUUCUGCCUUCUGCGGUGUUUCAGCAUGUGUGCGGAUGUUUACAUUAUACGGAAGCACGGACUAUUAUCUACGUUACACGAACUAAUAAUUAACUUAAUUAUGCCUCCCUAUAAAACUACUCAGACUUCUGUUUAACAUUUAUCUUAUAUAUCUUGCUUAUAAGAAUAACGUCACGAUCGUAUUUGUAUAAUAUCGACUAUGGCUUCUACGUCUUGCUUAUCGAUAAUUAAUACUGCGACGACUAGAUUUGUUUCAUAUGACUGAAACGUUGGGUCUUGUGUGUUGAUCCUUAAAAUUACUACCUAAUUUGACACAUAAUUUUCGUAUACAGUCUUAAUAUUUAUGAUGAUGUUCGUAUUGUGCUAAAAAUAUGUCACAGACUACAAAAUUUUUUUUCUUUCCACAAAUUUUCUCUUUUUUUCUCUUUUUGGUCGAUAUAUGUCCCGUAUAAAGUUCCCUGUGAAAUUCCCUUCUCGAUUGUUGUGAAUAAAAUAACUGUCUUUCUUUAGAAUCUUCACUGUUUGAAUAAUGCUGCAAUCAUGUAUAAUCUAUAUGCUCAUAGAGAAUAAUAUUCCUAUUAUAUAUAUAUAUAUAUAUAUAUAUAUCAGCCGAUGAGUUGUCAAUUUCAUAACCAGAUAAAAAAACGAUCAGUACCAAUACAAUUAUCACAGAGCAGUUAAGAUAAUGUAUGUACGCAUAGAGUAUAAAACUAGUUUUACAAUAUACUUUGCUACAUAUAUAAAUUCCUUUUUUAUAAAAAUAAAUUAUAAAUAAUAAUUUUUAUCAUCUAUGCCAAUACUGUUUUAAGAGUGUCAAAAAAAUAUUAAAACUAAAGUAUAUGCGUAAAAUGGCAGUGUGGAGAGAAUAUUUUUAUCACAAAAAUAAAAUAUGCUGCUAAAUUAAUUUCUGAUAACAAAUAACAUCUGUCAACUUUAAAUAAUACUUAUAUUUCUAAAAACAUUUAACAAUUAUUAUUUGCUAUUAUUAAAGUAAUAUAUAUAAUUGCAUUAAUAUGCUUUAAAAAUAAGACUAGAAGUAUCAAUACUUAAAAUCUGGUUAUGAAAUUUCAAACUUACAUUCUCUGCUAAUGUAGUAAAGUACUUCAUCGCUAGGUUCACUAACAACGCUGGAAGUUCACCAAUAUCUCAUAUUAACAAACACCCUCCUAUUAGACAGUAGAAAGACAUAUCCAUUAAAUAACUAACAAAGUAUAUAAUACCAACAACAACAUACUUAAUGCUAAAUGUAUAUAAAUAAGUUAAAAACAAUAAAGUAUACAAAAUUUUUUCUUUUCGUACAUUAGCACCGUUACUUUUUGGAAAUAAAGUUUACGACAGAUACUGAUACGUGAUCAUCACUCGACAGAAUAUUUAUUUAAGAUUCUAAGACCAGUCUUCGUACUGACUACCCAUGGUUCAUCUCAUUAAAUCCGCUGCUCUUUGUCGAUCCCGAUGGACCUCCCGAGGAUGCAUUCUUUUACGAUGUGAAAAACAGUUGCCGGAGCUCGCGAAAGCUUUCGGACAGUAAGGACACUGAUAAGGCCUCGCACCCGUAUGCUGAUUUAUGUGGAAUUUUAGAUCCUGAUUUCGCUUGAACGUCUUAUCACAAAGUGGGCAUGCGUGCGGUCUUAAAUCCGAAUGCGUUAUACUAUGGGCACGUAACGUUGAAUUUGUUGGAUAUACUCUUCCGCAUACAUUACAUGGAAACUGUAUGCCGCCGUGAUAUUCCUUGUGUCUGAAGAGAUUCGAUUGCGUUUUAAAACUAAAUCUUUUUACUGCAGAUUGGACAGAUGAAAUUGCUGGACGAAUUGUUAUCACUAUUCGUGUGAAGUACACCAUUUGUGGAAUAAACAUGUUGAGAUUGUGAAAUAGGCUUUCCGUCAAAUCUUCUUUCUCUGGGUAGUGGCUCAGGUGAAUGUGUCUCUGUUAUUUCUUCCUCGUUGUCCGAGGAAUCCGAAGCUUCCGAUGCAGACUGUUCCAUACCGCAUUGUAAAAAUAACAUUGGAUCUACUUUUACUUCCAUUUCCUCCAUGCUUGGAGUAUGUCGUUUGUCUUCUUGGGAAUUUAAUUCUGAUGGUCCCAAUGGCUCAUCUUCAGUUAAAAUUUCUAUCACACCCUGCAGAACACAAUGAUAACAAUUUGUUAUAUAUAAAAAUGUGUAAUAUGUAGAAACAAAACUACACUAUAUAAUACAUACCUUUGUUAAUAUUGAAUGCAACAACCCUCGAUCUUCUGUCUUUUUAGCAGUAUCUUUAAUAUUCUGCAUUUCAUCAUCUUGUACAGGAUUUGUAUUGUCAACGUUACUAUAGAGCUGUGAUCUCAACUUUUCUUGGGUACGGUAUGCCAUCAUUGCAAAGCGAUGGACACCCUCCAGUCUCUUAAUGCAUAUAGAACAGACCAUUUUUGAAAAUUUGUCCUCCAAU